rnacentral:rRNA from 1 species
UACGGAGGGUGCAAACGUUGCUCGGAAUCAUUGGGCGUAAAGCGCACGUAGGCGGACCUGCAAGUCGGGGGUGAAAGCCCGAGGCUCAACCUCGGAACUGCCUUCGAUACUGCGGGUCUCGAGUCCGGGAGAGGUGAGUGGAAUUCCUAGUGUAGAGGUGAAAUUCGUAGAUAUUAGGAAGAACACCAGUGGCGAAGGCGGCUCACUGGCCCGGUACUGACGCUGAGGCGCGAAAGCGUGGGGAGCAAACAGGG